rnacentral:rRNA from 1 species
AGUAACAAAGAAACAUUAAUAUUAAAAUUCACGAAGUCGUGCGAGCUAUAUAAAACAGGAUAUUAGUCUACUUAUAUGUGGCAUAAUAUUUAAGUAGUUUUGUGUAGGGGUGAUAGGCCUUUCAAGUACGUUGAUAUCUUGAUGCGUAAGAAAUAUAUUUAGUAUUAAUGUGAACUACUAAAGUUAAGCUUGGUAGUAAAUAUAAAUGGUAUUUUGUUUAAAUUAUUAAAGUUUAAUAACUAAAAGGUUUUUAUUUUAAUAUUAAAUAUUAGCUUUUGUAUUAUUUAUUGCGUAAUACUAAACAAUUUAUAGUAUAUAUAAUGUUAGUAUAAGUAGUUGUAAUAUAAAUGUUUUGUAUGAACUUGGCAAUAUUCUUUUCAACUGUUUACCAAAAACAUAGCUAUAUGAUAUGUAUAUAUAGUUAUUUCUGCUCCAUGAUAUAUUAAAUAGCCGCAGUACUCUGACUGUGCAAAGGUAGCAUAAUCAGUUGGCUCUUAAUUAGAGUCUGGAAUGAAUGAAUAUAUGAAGAGUAGCUAUCUCAAAACAUUUACUCGAAAUUGGUUGUAGGUGAAAAUCCCUACAAAUCUCUAAAAGACGAGAAGACCCUAGAAACUUACAUAACCGUUUUGUUGGGGCGACAAAAUUACAUAUAACUAAUUUUUAUUUACAUGACGAUUUCAGUUAGCUUAAGUUACUCUAGGGAUAACAGCAUAAUAUUUUUUGUUUGUGACCUCGAUGUUGGACUAGGUAAAAUAUUCCUUAGAAGGGAUUAUAUGGGCUCUGUUCGAGCAAGUAAACCUACAUGAUCUGAGUUCAGACCGG